UAGGGAGAAGGCUAAUCUGGCAAGAACUGUGGUUCCCAUCACUAGAGAUGGAGUAGGGGCUCCCAACCCAAUUCAGCGAUAUAAAAAACUGAAAGAUUAAUCAGCAAAAGACCUGAACUAAAAUAUUAAAGUUCUAAGGUGAUACCUGAGAAAGAAGGUGAUACCAGAUGGAAAUCUGAAUCUACACAACGGGAUAAAGAACACCAGAAAUGAUAAAUAUGUUUUGGGGUACAUGUGAAGAACAUACAGGAUUGUUGCAUAGAAAUGAGAUUCUGCUGUGUUGCCCAGGCUCAUCUUGUACUCUUGAGCUCAAGAGAUCCACCCACCUCAGCCUCCAAAACUGCUGGGAUUACAGGCAGCCAAAAGAAGCCAGUUGGUGCUUUCGAUACAGUCAUACGUGUGGGGAAUUGGUUUCAGAAACACUGCAGAUACCAGAAUUCGAGGAUGCUCAAGUGCCUUAUAGAAAAUGGUAUAGUAUUUGCAUAUAACCUAUGCACGUCCUUCUGUAUAC